AUUUGGUGUCAACAGGGUGGUUGACAGUAGUAACCAAGAGGAAUCAUAUAGGCAUUACGUCCUACAUUCUGAAGUACUUAAGAGGAAUUUUACAUGGAAUCUUCUAGACUGGAGUAAAGAAGAGGGAGAAAAUGCGAACACGUCGGCGCCGCCUAUCUCCAAAGAUCAAAGGGAGGGACUGAGGAUAACACGAGCACGUCUCAGAGGGAACCGGCCCGCGAAUCUGAGGCGGAAACCGGAGGAAGUGCCUCGAUGCCCGCGUGCCAGAAACAGAGCGAGCCUCCAAACGAAAGUGACGAUGAGAGCCUACCAAUGCGUACGCGUUACCAACUGCACUCUUCAACUCCCCUAAUAAAGAG